GGGAGGAUAGCUCAGCGGAUAGAGCGGCGGUACGUACCCAAAUGGCCAAGAUGCAGCAGGACACAGGUUCAAAUCCUGUUCCUCCCA
rnacentral:tRNA from 8 species